UUAAGUUAUUAAGGGCGCACGGUGGAUGCCUUGGCACUAGAAGCCGAUGAAGGACGUUACUAACGACGAUAUGCUUUGGGGAGCUGUAAGUAAGCUUUGAUCCAGAGAUUUCCGAAUGGGGAAACCCAACAUGAGUUAUGUCAUGUUAUCGAUAUGUGAAUACAUAGCAUAUCAGAAGGCACACCCGGAGAACUGAAACAUCUUAGUACCCGGAGGAAGAGAAAGAAAAUUCGAUUCCCUUAGUAGCGGCGAGCGAAACGGGAAGAGCCCAAACCAACAAGCUUGCUUGUUGGGGUUGUAGGACACUCUAUACGGAGUUACAAAGGACGACAUUAGACGAAUCAUCUGGAAAGAUGAAUCAAAGAAGGUAAUAAUCCUGUAGUCGAAAAUGUUGUCUCUCUUGAGUGGAUCCUGAGUACGACGGAGCACGUGAAAUUCCGUCGGAAUCUGGGAGGACCAUCUCCUAAGGCUAAAUACUCUCUAGUGACCGAUAGUGAACCAGUACCGUGAGGGAAAGGUGAAAAGCACCCCGGAAGGGGAGUGAAAUAGAACCUGAAACCGUGUGCUUACAAGUAGUCAGAGCCCGUUAAUGGGUGAUGGCGUGCCUUUUGUAGAAUGAACCGGCGAGUUACGAUUUGAUGCAAGGUUAAGCAGUAAAUGUGGAGCCGUAGCGAAAGCGAGUCUGAAUAGGGCGUUUAGUAUUUGGUCGUAGACCCGAAACCAGGUGAUCUACCCUUGGUCAGGUUGAAGUUCAGGUAACACUGAAUGGAGGACCGAACCGACUUACGUUGAAAAGUGAGCGGAUGAACUGAGGGUAGCGGAGAAAUUUCAAUCGAACCUGGAGAUAGCUGGUUCUCUCCGAAAUAGCUUUAGGGCUAGCCUCAAGUGAUGAUUAUUGGAGGUAGAGCACUGUUUGGACGAGGGGCCCCUCUCGGGUUACCGAAUUCAGACAAACUCCGAAUGCCAAUUAAUUUAACUUGGGAGUCAGAACAUGGGUGAUAAGGUCCGUGUUCGAAAGGGAAACAGCCCAGACCACCAGCUAAGGUCCCAAAGUAUAUGUUAAGUGGAAAAGGAUGUGGCGUUGCCCAGACAACUAGGAUGUUGGCUUAGAAGCAGCCAUCAUUUAAAGAGUGCGUAAUAGCUCACUAGUCGAGUGACACUGCGCCGAAAAUGUACCGGGGCUAAACAUAUUACCGAAGCUGUGGAUUGUCCUUUGGACAAUGGUAGGAGAGCGUUCUAAGGGCGUUGAAGCAUGAUCGUAAGGACAUGUGGAGCGCUUAGAAGUGAGAAUGCCGGUGUGAGUAGCGAAAGACGGGUGAGAAUCCCGUCCACCGAUUGACUAAGGUUUCCAGAGGAAGGCUCGUCCGCUCUGGGUUAGUCGGGUCCUAAGCUGAGGCCGACAGGCGUAGGCGAUGGAUAACAGGUUGAUAUUCCUGUACCACCUAUAAUCGUUUUAAUCGAUGGGGGGACGCAGUAGGAUAGGCGAAGCGUGCGAUUGGAUUGCACGUCUAAGCAGUAAGGCUGAGUAUUAGGCAAAUCCGGUACUCGUUAAGGCUAAGCUGUGAUGGGGAGAAGACAUUGUGUCUUCGAGUCGUUGAUUUCACACUGCCGAGAAAAGCCUCUAGAUAGAAAAUAGGUGCCCGUACCGCAAACCGACACAGGUAGUCAAGAUGAGAAUUCUAAGGUGAGCGAGCGAACUCUCGUUAAGGAACUCGGCAAAAUGACCCCGUAACUUCGGGAGAAGGGGUGCUCUUUAGGGUUAACGCCCAGAAGAGCCGCAGUGAAUAGGCCCAAGCGACUGUUUAUCAAAAACACAGGUCUCUGCUAAACCGUAAGGUGAUGUAUAGGGGCUGACGCCUGCCCGGUGCUGGAAGGUUAAGAGGAGUGGUUAGCUUCUGCGAAGCUACGAAUCGAAGCCCCAGUAAACGGCGGCCGUAACUAUAACGGUCCUAAGGUAGCGAAAUUCCUUGUCGGGUAAGUUCCGACCCGCACGAAAGGCGUAACGAUUUGGGCACUGUCUCAACGAGAGACUCGGUGAAAUCAUAGUACCUGUGAAGAUGCAGGUUACCCGCGACAGGACGGAAAGACCCCGUGGAGCUUUACUGUAGCCUGAUAUUGAAAUUCGGCACAGCUUGUACAGGAUAGGUAGGAGCCUUUGAAACGUGAGCGCUAGCUUACGUGGAGGCGCUGGUGGGAUACUACCCUAGCUGUGUUGGCUUUCUAACCCGCACCACUUAUCGUGGUGGGAGACAGUGUCAGGCGGGCAGUUUGACUGGGGCGGUCGCCUCCUAAAAGGUAACGGAGGCGCUCAAAGGUUCCCUCAGAAUGGUUGGAAAUCAUUCAUAGAGUGUAAAGGCAUAAGGGAGCUUGACUGCGAGACCUACAAGUCGAGCAGGGUCGAAAGACGGACUUAGUGAUCCGGUGGUUCCGCAUGGAAGGGCCAUCGCUCAACGGAUAAAAGCUACCCCGGGGAUAACAGGCUUAUCUCCCCCAAGAGUUCACAUCGACGGGGAGGUUUGGCACCUCGAUGUCGGCUCAUCGCAUCCUGGGGCUGUAGUCGGUCCCAAGGGUUGGGCUGUUCGCCCAUUAAAGCGGUACGCGAGCUGGGUUCAGAACGUCGUGAGACAGUUCGGUCCCUAUCCGUCGUGGGCGUAGGAAAUUUGAGAGGAGCUGUCCUUAGUACGAGAGGACCGGGAUGGACAUACCUCUGGUGUACCAGUUGUCGUGCCAACGGCAUAGCUGGGUAGCUAUGUGUGGACGGGAUAAGUGCUGAAAGCAUCUAAGCAUGAAGCCCCCCUCAAGAUGAGAUUUCCCAACUUCGGUUAUAAGAUCCCUCAAAGAUGAUGAGGUUAAUAGGUUCGAGGUGGAAGCAUGGUGACAUGUGGAGCUGACGAAUACUAAUCGAUCGAAGACUUAAUCAA
rnacentral:rRNA from 1 species